rnacentral:rRNA from 1 species
AUUGAACGCUGGCGGCAUGCCUUACACAUGCAAGUCGAACGGCAGCACGUGAGCAAUCCUGGUGGCGAGUGGCGAACGGGCGAGUAAUAUAUGGGAACGUGCCCAGGCGUGGGGGAUAACGUAGCAAAAGCUACGCUAAUACCGCAUACGAUCCAUGGAUGAAAGCGGGGGAUCGCAAGACCUCGCGCGAUUGGAGCGGGCGAUAUCAGAUUAGGUAGUUGGUGAGGUAAAGGCUCACCAAGCCGACGAUCUGUAGCUGGUCUGAGAGGACGACCAGCCACACUGGGACUGAGACACGGCCCAGACUCCUACGGGAGGCAGCAGUGGGGAAUUUUGGACAAUGGGCGCAAGCCUGAUCCAGCAAUGCCGCGUGCAGGAUGAAGGCCUUCGGGUUGUAAACUGCUUUUGUACGGAGCGAAAAGGCUUCCACUAAUACUGGGGGCUCAUGACGGUACCGUAAGAAUAAGCACCGGCUAACUACGUGCCAGCCGCCGCGGUAA